rnacentral:rRNA from 1 species
CCUACGGGAGGCAGCAGUGAGGAAUAUUGGUCAAUGGGCGCGAGCCUGAACCAGCCAAGUCGCGUGAGGGAAGACGGUCCUAUGGAUUGUAAACCUCUUUUGUCGGGGAGCAAAAGACGCCACGCGUGGCGUUCCGAGAGUACCCGAAGAAAAAGCAUCGGCUAACUCCGUGCCAGCAGCCGCGGUAAUACGGAGGAUGCGAGCGUUAUCCGGAUUUAUUGGGUUUAAAGGGUGCGCAGGCGGAAGAUCAAGUCAGCGGUAAAAUUGAGAGGCUCAACCUCUUCGAGCCGUUGAAACUGGUUGUCUUGAGUGAGCGAGAAGUAUGCGGAAUGCGUGGUGUAGCGGUGAAAUGCAUAGAUAUCACGCAGAACUCCGAUUGCGAAGGCAGCAUACCGGCGCUCAACUGACGCUCAUGCACGAAAGUGUGGGUAUCGAACAGGAGUAGAUACCCUAGUAGGC